rnacentral:tRNA from 2 species
GCGAGGGUGGCGGAAUCGGCAGACGCGCACGUUUGAGGGGCGUGUGAUUUUAUCAUGCGAGUUCAAGUCUCGUCUCUCGCACCA